rnacentral:rRNA from 1 species
CCUUCGGGCGACAGCAGUGGGGGAUAUUGCACAAUGGGCGCAAGCCUGAAGCAGCGACACCGCGUGCGCGAAGAAGUAUUUCGGUAUGUACAGCUCUAUCAGCAUGGCAGAAAAUGACGGUACCUGACUCAGAAGCUCCAGCUAACUACGUGCCAGCAGCCGCGUUAAUCCGUAUGGGGCCAGCGUUAUCCGUAUUUACUGGGUGUAAUGGGAGCGUAGACGGCCCUGUAAGUCUGCUGAGAAAAUUUGCGGCUCAACCCCGAACGUGCAUUGGAAACUGCAGGGCUUGAGUGCCGGAGAGGCAGGCGGAAUUCCUAGUGUAGCGGUGAAAUGCGUAGAUAUUAGGAGGAACCCCAGUGGCGAAGGCGGGCUGCUGGACGGUAACUGACGCUGAGGCUCGAAAGCGUGGGGAGCAAACAGGAUUAGAUACCCCUGUAGUC